UGUCCGGAUUUAUUGGGCGUAAAGAGCGUGUAGGCGGCCAGGUAGGUCUGCUGUGAAAACUCGAGGCUCAACCUCGAGACGUCGGCGGAAACCAUCUGGCUAGAGUCCGGAAGAGGAGAGUGGAAUUCCUGGUGUAGCGGUGAAAUGCGCAGAUAUCAGGAAGAACACCCGUGGCGAAAGCGGCUCUCUGGGACGGUACUGACGCUGAGACGCGAAAGCGUGGGGAGCGAACAGG
rnacentral:rRNA from 1 species